CAGAGAGGAAGAAUCUCAGGCUCUACUGAGUAAGAUGGCAGUUGGAUUUUGGAGGACUAACUCACUUCCUCCAAGUGGGAAAUUGAACUUUCUGGAAGAUGUAGUGAGAUAGACAGUGCCUUUGGUUGCUCAUAGCAUACUGGAAGAUUUGGCUAGACACGGGCCUCCUUUCUUCUGUUCCGUGAAUGUAAGUUAUAAGGUUGUGUGGUGAGAAUGAAGUUCACGCUUUUCAAUCGCCUCUUCAAGAUCUCCCCAGCGACCACUGAAGCACCGCUUACUUCUCCAUGCUGUGUGUGUACUGGAGGCACAGCUCUGCUUGCCAGAAUCUAACACUAACAGUGUGGAAGUAAAGUCAGCAGUAAGAAGUUUUGGGGAUGCAUGAAGAUUCUGCUUUAGGAUUAGAAGUCCCGGAGUGGAGAACUGGUCCUCUGCUCUCCUAGGGAACCAAAGUUGUUGAUGGCAUCUGGCUCCCCUUUUGUGAUCAGAAACAGCAGUGGUUGUGUUUGUUAACCUAGAAAUAAUCUAGGUCAGUGGUUCUCAACCUGCGGGUCAAUCAGAUAUCCUACAUAUCAGAUAUUGACAUUAGGAUCUGUAACAGUACCAAAACCACAGCUAAGCGGCAAAGAAACACUUGUAUGGUUGGGAGUCCCCAGAGCAUGAGAAACUGCACUAACGGGUCACAGCAUUAAGAAGGUCUAGAGCCAACGAUUGAGUGCAAUAUCACUGAACUUGAAUGAAGUAGGCCACUUCUUUUAGAUUUUUUUUUUCAUAUUUAAAAUGUCCUUAGGCUGCAGAUCUAGGUAACAAGAGAGACAGAUUGCAGAAAAGAAAAAGUCUAGCAUUUUCCAUUUUUUUUUCUUAAAUUUUCAGCCUUGGAGUAUGUGAAAGAGUUUCUAUUAACUGUGAAAAGGACACCAUCCUCUUGUCUGGGCUUCUCACUGAAUUACAAUCCUCCAUGUCUCUCCCACUUGGAAUUACAGGAGUUGUCUGUGCUCUCGACCUUCGAGUGCUCUGGGGUGUGAGUGUCAUCAAUGACCAUGUCCUGAACUGGAGGGCUUCCGGGGAGAUUCAAAACUUAUACUUUGAGUAAAGCCAUUUCCUUCUUAGAACUGACUGGAGUACUGCAAGUGGCAGGGAAAAGGUGAUGACGUGAUGGAAAGGCUUGCUUUCCACAGAGGCUAUGGGGAUAUGGGCCACCAGGAGAAAAGAGGUGUAAUAGGAAGGGGAGAGAAGGCUCUCCAUACCCCAGCAAUGGAAGGCCAACACCCUCCUGCUCCAGGAAAGCCACAUGUCUAGAAACUUUCCAGUAGACUUUGACUCUUUUUGUUUGUUUGUUUGUUUGUUUGUUUCACGUUUCACGACAGGGUUCCUCUGUGCAGCCCUAGCUGUCCUGGACUCACUUUGCAGACCAAGUGUGUGCCGGGGUCCACCUGUGGAGACCAGAAAACAACAUGCAGGAGUUUGCUUUUCUCCCUCUACCAUGUGGGACCCAGAGAUCAAACUUAGAUCCUCAUACCUGGCAGCAAGGGCCCUCACCUUCUGAGCCAUCUUGCCAGCCCAUUAGGCCAUUUGAGUGAACAACCUCACUGAGAUCAAAGUCCCAGGCCGCUUGAAGUGUACCCUCCUGCCUCUGCCGCCAGCACCUCCAACUAUGGCUCUAAUGACUCUCUGAGGACUUGUCUGCUAAGGACAUUUCACCUUAAACACACAGCCCCAGCGUGUUACCAGCUGCGACUGGCUUUCCCUGCUUAGCUUAAGUUUUUGAGGAUGUAUGUUGCAGAACACAUGAGUGCUUCUGGGGUUUGCCGAUCUGUUUUUCAUGGUGUGGGUGGGCCACAUUUGACUUUUAAUGGCUGGCUGUGGAGAGGGAGGAACAAGCUGCCAGAACUGUUAUGGAAAUGCUGCCUGUGCUUUGAGUGAUGUGGACGACAGGGUCUUGUUGCCUCUUUGGAAAAACUGCAUGGUUAUAGAAUAUGAAGUUAUGGGAAGCAAGAGUCGCGUUUUUAUGUAUUUUCUGUGUGUAACACUCCUAUGGGAUCCUAGUUACGUGUUUUGUUUUGUUUUUUUCCCCUGCAGGGAUGGAUCCCUAGAUCUCUUGAGAAGUCACAGCCUAGUCCCACCAAGAGGUAGUUUUUCAAUUGUGGAGGCAGAGGGAGGAUGUAAGGAACCCUGCCCCACUGUUUCUUAAUGUAUUUCAUCAUGUUUUAGAAGAUGAUGAUGGAUGUCUAUUAAAGAGAAGAAACACAUUUUUAUAGAAAUUAAGAACCUUUGAGCCAUUGGGUGAGACUUCAGUGAAAACAAGCUAGAAGAAACACUUCUGUGAGGUUGCUGGCUGUGCUGGGAGUUGAAGCAACACUUACCCAGGCUGGGCUUAGGUUCUUGGGACACCGAGAAAAACAAACAAACAACCAACUUAAAAAAUCAAACUAUAACUCCUAUCGUAAGAGUUCACCACUACAUUAAUAGAGAGAUGGAAUUUCUCUAUGUCCUAGAAGUUAUCUUACACAAGGCAAAUGUUUGAUUUUCAAAUGACACGGCAAUUCUAACGCAUGUCCACCUGGAGUUAUUCCUCUGUCGAGUGCUACCUUGAAAUCUUCUGCUUGGGUCACAGGAGUGGCUCUCCUGCCUGUCACCCACCAGGCUUCCCAGCUUUAUUUUGCCUCCGUGGCUUGUCUCACUUCCAGAGCCACAUAACACGGUGAAAGUGAACCCCCAACCCCGUAGAGGUGUGUGUUAACUGUGGCCGCAUCUUCCUGACUGACGGUGACUGCAUGGUGCUCCCUGAAGGGUGAUGUUUCUGCUUUUCACUGUGAGGAGUGAGUUUGGUAGAGUUUAUAACACCUGUGAGGCGGGUCACUUCCUGGUUUGGGAAGCUAUGAAGCCCUUAACCAGCAGCAGUUUCUGCAACUUUGUCGGGGUCUGGGAUACUUCUGAGCCUGGGAAAGAGUUACUGGGAAACAGCUGGAGGCUGUGGCAAACCUUAGGUUUUUAUGCUGGUGGCAUGUGACUCCAAACUUGGUCAUUAUUGCUUUUUUUUUUUUUUUUCAUUUAUAGAAACAUAUAUGUUUUCAGUCCGGAUGCUACACAAUCAAACCCUGAACAUCUGUAUUAUCUACAUUAAGAUUAGGGGUUGAGAAAUUGACCCCCUUGAAUGCGCCUAAUGCUUCUGUUUCCAGGGCUAGAAGACUUGCUGUAUAGAAUUAGAAAAAUGUUGAUUCACUUAACAACAACAAAAAAAGCAUAUAUGUACCUAAGAGUCACUAAUAAAG